rnacentral:rRNA from 1 species
UGGGGAAUAUUGCACAAUGGGCGCAAGCCUGAUGCAGCGACGCCGCGUGAGGGAUGAAGGCCUUCGGGUUGUAAACCUCUUUCAGCAGGGAAGAAGCGCAAGUGACGGUACCUGCAGAAGAAGCACCGGCUAACUACGUGCCAGCAGCCGCGGUAAUACGUAGGGUGCAAGCGUUGUCCGGAAUUAUUGGGCGUAAAGAGCUCGUAGGCGGUCUGUCGCGUCUGCUGUGAAAACUCGGGGCUUAACCCCGGGCCUGCAGUGGGUACGGGCAGACUAGAGUGCGGUAGGGGAGACUGGAAUUCCUGGUGUAGCGGUGAAAUGCGCAGAUAUCAGGAGGAACACCGGUGGCGAAGGCGGGUCUCUGGGCCGUAACUGACGCUGAGGAGCGAAAGCGUGGGUAGCGAACA